CCUGAGUUUGAGUAGGUGCUCACUAAGAGUUCCAAACCUACCAAAAGGUUAAUGGUAAGUUAACCUGCACCACAGAGGUCCUGAUAAAAGAGUCUGAUCCUGAAGUUAAAAGAGUCUGAUCCUGAAGUUAAAAGAGUCACAUGCAAGGGCCUAUACUAAAGGCAAAUCUAACCACAUCAAAAUUGACUUAAAGAAAAAAUGUAGCAAAAGUGAAUUAACUCGGUCUAAAACUCUGAUUGGAGAAUCUUUUAGUAUUCAGUGCUAAAAAUCCAGUGACAGGCUCCAAUUGUCAUUUUGAUGACAAAGAUGUUCAAAAACUUAAAAAAAAGAAUGAUGAAGAAAAAAGAAAAAGGUUAGAGAGAAAAAUUUAGGAAGAGGAAAGAAAUUUCAAACUUGGCCACCACUAAUACCAAAUAAUGAAGAGAAAGAAAAUGAAUUAAUGUGGCAAACUUUCUUUGCCUUUUCGGUUUGUG
rnacentral:lncRNA from 1 species